AACGAACGCUGGCGGCAUGCCUAACACAUGCAAGUCGAACGAGACCUUCGGGUCUAGUGGCGCACGGGUGCGUAACGCGUGGGAACCUGCCCUUAGGUUCGGAAUAACUCCCCGACAGGGGUGCUAAUACCGGAUAAUGUCUUCGGACCAAAGAUUUAUCGCCUUUGUUUGGGCCCGCGUUGGAUUAGCUAGUUGGUAGGGUAAAAGCCUACCAAGGCGACGAUCCAUAGCUGGUCUGAGAGGAUGAUCAGCCACACUGGGACUGAGACACGGCCCAGACUCCUACGGGAGGCAGCAGUGGGGAAUAGUGGACAAUGGGCGAAAGCCUGAUCCAGCAAUGCCGCGUGAGUGAUGAAGGCCUUAGGGUUGUAAAGCUCUUUUACCCGGGAUGAUAAUGACAGUACCGGGAGAAUAAGCUCCGGCUAACUCCGUG
rnacentral:rRNA from 1 species